rnacentral:lncRNA from 1 species
UCACUCUCCUUGGCCCCAUGCCUGGGGCACCCUCAUAGACUCUACUCUUUUCUUACUGCUGUUCCAGAGUCCUGCUGCUGUUCUAGCUGUGGAGAAACGGUGGGGGUUGUGUCUGUGCUGAUGGCAGCCACGACUUGUUCUCCAGUUGCUUUCUGUGACAGUGGAUGUCCCUGUAAUGAACAAACCUCCUCCGGCUCUGGAUCGGUCAGCUUGAAAGGAGAAUCCAGCCAACGGGAGCAGGACCAUCCAGAGCGGAGAUGGAGGCAAUCAGCCCCAGGGAACACAGAUCCAGGUGGCUGCUUUUCAGAUGCCCAAGGGCUGGACCUGCAGUCUUUGGGCCACACAGGCCUGAUGCUUCUGCCUUGCUGUCCCAUCUCUCCAUGUCUUAGGGCCAUAUCACCGGUCCUCUGCACCUUCGCCGAUGGGAGGAAAGGACCUGAAAGCUCGCUUCGGUCAGGUUGCAAGCCUUGAGAGGGCAGCGAGCAGGUCUCUCUUUUUCCAGGCCCCAGCCGAGCGUUAUAAACAUCUGCUCAUCUGUUCGUCUUAAAGAUUUGAUGAUGAUGAUAAUGAGGCUGCUGACCUUCAUAUGACUGAGCAGAUCCCUUUAAAUGUGCCUGGAUUAUUAAAAUAAAGGAGCCACACUCUCCAUUUGCCAUUAAGCAAUAUAGCCGUGGUUUUCCUGUAAUAGCAAUAACCCACCUGGGAAGGGUAACUUUCAACUGAACCAACCCAACAGUGCUAAACCAGAAUCAGAAACACAUUUUGAUCAAUUCUUGCAUUUGGUUUCUGGGAGACCUGGAGGCAGGAUGGGAAAAUAGGUGGAAAAAUUGCUUUGACUAAUUUGCUGGCUUCUAUUUCUGGAAAGCUGAGAUCGACAAUGUUAAUGAAGACAAAUGAAUGAAAAGGGACUUGACCACCGAGUAUGAAAUUUUGCUCAUUAGUCGGUACUUCCAAUUGGUUGAUUGAUAAUGUUUUCAUUUAAACAUGGUAAUUGAUGACAGAAAGCAGUGAAACAAGAUCUGCGCUAUUCUUUCUGGAAGGGUGGAAAGCAGGUUAGCAAAUCUAGUCUUAUUUUCGAUUUUUGUAUUGUGUGCCUCUGAUGAGCCUGUCUGGAUUUCCACAGAAAUUCUGUGUCCAUUUUUCUGUAACCAAAUUCCAUGAUUAAGAGGCCUUCCCCAGUUAAGCCCCAUUUUCCCCGGCUCCCUCUCCCUUCUGUAUCAUCUAUCUAUACCCUUAGAUCUGUGAUCUUUGGGCAUUUGAUAUUCACUCUAUCCCUAACCCACAGCAAUCAUGUACAUAUCUUUAAAUGAUAUACUAUAAAUCACUUUUAUUUAGUCAUAUUAAUUCCUGCCUCCCCCUCUAGACUGUAAGCUCAUUAUGGGUAGGGAACUUGUCUGCUAAUUCUCCUGUAUUGUACUCUCCUAAACACUUAAUACAGUGCUCUGCACAUAGUAAGUGCUCAAUAAAUGCC